AUGGCAGUUACGUUUUUAUCAGUCAUGGCAUUGAGGGAGCAUUUCAAUGUUGUAACAACUAUUUUUCUUUCAAACUUCUUCCUCCUCAUCUUCCUUCUUCCUCUUCACGGUAAUGGGCGGUUUGAAAGUGGUAGAUUCUUUAUCAAAGAAGAACAUGAAAUCAAAAAGGGGAAUAGGGCUACGGUGGUUGUGGCCGCGGUUUAG